ACCUGCAUUCGAAAGUGAUUAUGGUAUUCUGUGACCUGGUCAUUGAUAGUGCAGGGAGAGAAACUUAAGAAAGUUUUUCCCGUGUUUGGAGGGUCCACCUGUCCCAUCCAAACCCUGUAACUUUCUAACA
rnacentral:snoRNA from 13 species